rnacentral:rRNA from 1 species
GACGAACGCUGGCGGCGUGCCUAAUACAUGCAAGUAGAACGCACAGUUUAUACCGUAGCUUGCUACACCAUAGACUGUGAGUUGCGAACGGGUGAGUAACGCGUAGGUAACCUGCCUGGUAGCGGGGGAUAACUAUUGGUAACGAUAGCUAAUACCGCAUAAUAUUGAUUAUUGCAUGAUAAUUAAUUGAAAGGUGCAAUUGCACCACUACCAGAUGGACCUACGUUGUAUUAGCUAGUAGGUGAGGUAACGGGUCACCUAGGCGACGAUAGAUAGCCGACCUGAGGGGGAGGUUCACUACACUGGGAGUGAGACACAGCCCAGACUCCUACGGGAGGAAGCGGCCGAGAAUCUUCGGCGAUGGAGGAAUGGCGGAUAGAGCAACACCGCGGGAGUGAUGAAGGUUUCCGGCUCGUAAAGCGAUGUUGUCAGUGAAGAAGUAGUGCUCGAGUGGAAAGGUCGCUCAUGACGGUAACCUUACAAGAAGCGCCGGCAAACCUCGUU